rnacentral:rRNA from 1 species
AUUGAGCGCUGGCGGCAUGCCUUACACAUGCAAGUCGAACGGUAACAGGUCUUCGGAUGCUGACGAGUGGCGAACGGGUGAGUAAUACAUCGGAACGUGCCCGAUCGUGGGGGAUAACGAGGCGAAAGCUUUGCUAAUACCGCAUACGAUCUACGGAUGAAAGCGGGGGAUCUUCGGACCUCGCGCGGACGGAGCGGCCGAUGGCAGAUUAGGUAGUUGGUGGGAUAAAAGCUUACCAAGCCGACGAUCUGUAGCUGGUCUGAGAGGAUGAUCAGCCACACUGGGACUGAGACACGGCCCAGACUCCUACGGGAGGCAGCAGUGGGGAAUUUUGGACAAUGGGCGAAAGCCUGAUCCAGCCAUGCCGCGUGCAGGAUGAAGGCCUUCGGGUUGUAAACUGCUUUUGUACGGAACGAAAAGCCUCUUUCUAAUAAAGAGGGGUCAUGACGGUACCGUAAGAAUAAGCACCGGCUAACUACGUG